CUCCUGCCUCAGCCUCCCAAGUAGCUGUUAUUACAGGUGCAUGCCACCAUGCCCAGCUAAUUUUUGUAUUUUUAGUAGAGGUGAGAUUUCACCAUGUUGGCCAGGCUGGUCUGGAACUACUGACCUCAGGAGAUCCACCUGCCUUGGCCUCACAAAGUGUUGGGAUGACAGAUGCAAACCACCACUUCUGGCCCCAAACCAUAAUUUCUAUCUUUUAGCUAAUUUGUUAUUUCUACAAAGACUGUCUAGUCCCCAAGCAAGAAAUGGGGUUUUUCCUUGGGAAAGACCUAUUAUCUUUGUCUUAAACUAUAAAUUAAAUUUCUUGCUAAGUUAGUUCAGCCUUCAUCCAGGAAUGAACUAAGACAGCUUGGAGGUUAGAAGCAAGGUGGAGCUGGUUAGGUCAGAUCUCUCUCACUGUCUUCAGUUACAAUUUUGCAGUGCUGGUUCCAUUGUCCCUUGACAGUGGCCUAUUUGUUGUUGUUGUUACUUUAACUUGCUCUAGUAAUUCUUAGCUUCAUUUCUGUUCUUUUGAACCAUGAGAUUUUCUUUGUGACUUGUUGGUCAUUUGUACUAUACUUUACAGUAUACUAUACUUUGUGGAGAGAAGAGUUCAGUAUAUGUUUAUUGGUUGUAUUGUUCAUUUUCCCCAUAUUCUUAUUUAAAUUUCAUCUAAUCUGCCAAAUUCUAAUAGGAAUGAGUUAAAGUAUUUCUCUUACACUGUGUUUCUAUAGUAUGGGUGAGCCCAAAAUAUCUGAGACAGGCUUCAGUCAACUUAGAAAGUUGAUUUUGCCAAGCUUAAGGAUGAACCCAUGACACCACCUCAAGAAGUCCUGAUGUGCCCAAGGCAGUCCGGGCUUGAGGGCAGGUGCAAUCUCAGCUCACUGCAACCUCCGCCUCCUGCAUUCAAGCAAUUCUACUGCCUCAGCCUCCUGAGUAUCUGGAAUUACAGGCACGUACCAUCACACCCAACUAAUUUUUUGUAUUUUUAGUAGAGAUGAGGUUUCACCGUGUUAACCAGACUGGUCUCAUACUCCUGACCUCUGGAAUGAAAGGCUCAUCCCACCACACCCAGUUAAUUUUUUACAUUUUUAGUAGAGACAAGAUUUUAUCAUAUUAGCCAGGCUAGUCUCAUACUCACGACCUCAAGUCAUCCACCUGCCUUGGCCUCCUAAAGAGCUGGGAUUACAAGCUUGAGCCACCACAUCUGGCCCUGAAAUAAAUUUUUAUUAUUUAAACACUCCCUAAUACCCACUAUAUGCUAAGUACUAUUCUGAAUAUUGAAGAUACAACAAAGAACAAAGUUAUGAGGGAAAUAGACCAUAAACAGCUAACCAUAUGGUGAUUCAAGUUCUGUAAUCCUACACUUUGGGAGGCCUAGGUAGAGGAUGACUUGAGCCCAGUAGUUCAAGACCAGCCUGAGUAACAUAGUGAGACCUUGUCUCUAUAAAAAAUAAAAUAUUAGCAACUUCGUCUCAAAAACAAAAAAAAACAAAGGGUGUUUUCAGCAGAGGAGUGACAUAAUGUGACUUCUGUCUUAUAAAAAUAGUAAAUAAGAAAGUAACUUUGACAUUAUUAUUAUUAUUUGAGCUGGCAUCUUACUUUGUUGCCCAGGCUGGAGUACAGUGGCGCGAUAUCGGAUCACUGCAACCUCUGCCUCCCAGGUUCAAGGGAUUCUCCGGCCUCAGCCUCCCAAGUAGCUGGGAUUACAGGCACCUGCCAUCAGGCCUGGCUAAUUUUUGUGUUUUUGUAGAGAUAGGCUUUCGCCAUGUUGGCCAGGCUGGUCCUGAACUCCUGACCUCAGGUUAUUCACCCACCUCGGCCUCCAAAAGUGCUGGGAUUACAGACAUGAGCCACCAUGGCUGGCUAGGAAAUGAAAUAUUUUUAAAUGCACUAAUAAUAUAGGUUCUAGUUCUAAAAUAUGAUGACCUUGUUUUCUAUGACUUCUGCACAGUAUUUAACAUUUGGCCAACUAUAGUAACUCCUACUAUAUUAUCUAAUAAUAAUGCAUUUGCAACCCAUUAUUCCUAGAGCUGUGACAUAAUAACAAUGAGGAGGACUAUUAAUGAAAUAUAAAACAUAAGUUCUAGUUCUAAAACAUAGUCCUGUUUCUUAUCAUCAAGUGUCUGUUAGGCACAUGGGUGACAAUCAGAACCCAAAGUAUAGAUUAAGUGUACUGUAGUUUUUGCCUUUAAGGAGCAUGAAAUCCUUAAGAACUAAUCGUGAAAUUAUAUGCAAAACAAUAAUCAUUUUACACAUCAACAUAUCUGACAGCACAGGGCAGCUAAUAAUGGAAUUUUAUUCCUGCUGUCUAAAAUAGUUAAAAGUUAUAUGAUAAUAAAAAAGAAAGAGUAUUGAGUUUUUAAUCUAGUAUUUAUUCAUAGAUAAUAUACGUAGGUCAGACCAAGCAGUCUGUUGAUGUGUAAAAUGCAUAUUUUUUGCAUAUUACUGGAAAGAUAUUUAAGUACAGACUUUUUUUCAUUUUCUACUUAUUGUCAGUUAAUUUCUGGCCACUAAUGAUAUACAUGAAUAUAGUGUUAUUGAGGGUUAUAGUACUUAUUUCUAGUUGACAAUGAAGUGACUGGAAACUUCCAGCUAUUUCUUAAUGUUUUAUUGCAUUACUGGUAACACUUUUGGUCUUUCAUCAUUAUUAAUUCAUUUAGUAUUCAUUGUGAUAAUACUGAUCAUAAUACAUUUAUUUCAAAUUCAUGUAGAUGUCAUUUUAUUCACUGCUGUAGGAUUUUCACUGUAAUUUGGAACUAAUUAAUAUACCAUUAAAAUAAAGUGUUACCCACAUUUUUCAUUUUAAACAUAAAAUGUCUAGCAGUUGAUGACAUAUUCUAUGAGUAUUCAGCAUCCCAGUGGUAACGCAGCAUCUGUAAAUUUCAUUUUUAAGUACUUAAAAAAUGGGCAACAGAAAAACGUGUAUAGAAAUGAAAUUUUAGCACAUAAGUUAAAGUUUAGCAGUACGUUAACCACUAGUUAAUUUUUAGUGCCUCCUUUUAAUUGCAAUGCAUAGUUUUUAUUAAUAUAUGUGCUUGUGUAUAUAUAUAUAUAAUAUAUGUAUAUACAUUAUUAGUACCCCAAAAAGAAAUUAUUUAUUUUCUACUUGACCAGUGUCACCAGGAGAAAUUAAAAACCAUUUACUCAAAACAGAUAAUUUGACUGCUUCUCUUCUGCAUUUCUAAUGACAAUUAUAAAUAAUGGGUGAGUUCAUACUAAUACAUUAGUAACUAAUACAGUAACUUCAAAAUAAUUAUUAGAUGUGACUUAUUCAUAUUUUUCUUCCAUUUUUGUAAAGAUAGUAAGUUGAUUGUUGGUGGGAAAGGAGAAACAAACGUUUUCAGUAGUUUAAAUUGACUAUAUUAAGAAGAUGAAAAACAAAUCUAGUUGUAUUAAAUAUUAAUGGUAAAAGGUUUAAAUAACCAUAAGAAACAGCUCUAUUCUAUUGUCAUGAAUUUUAUUUCACAUUAGCCUUUUGAGUGAAAUUAUUCUUAUUUUUUCCACAUCUCUCUUCUUUGAGUUGCCUGCUCUACUGGACAUUGUGUUGUUGUAUCUUUUCCUUGUUGGCCAUUAAUGACAGUUUCUUUGUUCCACUAUCCCAUCUUGUUAUUGGCCAGGAUAAGAUUUUAAAAUAAAAAUGAAAGAUUCUUUCUAAUCCUGCAACUGGUUGAAUAACCACCUUGUUUUCCAUGACUUCCGCACACUGUUUAACAUAGUCAUGGUCUCCCAUCUUGACGCCUUCCCAUUAACUUCUAUGACACUGCACUAUACUUGUAUCUUAUGAUUGGACCUUGUUUUUUUUUAAAUUGUUGUUAUUGAGCAUCUUUUACUGUAAAUCUUUACAGAGAUUAUCAAACUCUGGGGAUAUGUGUUUCCAUGGCCAAAAUGUUGAUAUUCAUGGAGUCUAGAAUCCCUUAAUAUUAUGCACAAAACCCUGAAAACCAAGGCCUUUUGCCUUGGCAUCAACUAUUAAUCUUCUUAUUUCCCCCAUCCUUCAUUUCUGUCUUGAAAUUUGCAUUUUAUCAUUCCCAUUAUUAUUUUACUACAUGUGUAUACAUCCUUAAUGAACAGCCCUAAAAUUUUGUGAGGGUUUUACUUAUGUAAAUAAAAGUAUUCUGUGUAUGUUCAAAGGCCAAACUGUUUCCUAGCAGCAAUAUAUAUGACUUUUUAUCACUAACACUUGGUAUAGUCUAAAAAUUUUGGGGUGUUGCUAUAGAUGUUGGUAUCAUUUCAUAUUCUAUUUUUUUUUGAGGCGGAUUUUCACUCUUGUGACCCAGGCUGGAGUGCAAUGGCACAAUCGCAGCUCACCGCAACCUCCGUCUCCUGUGUUCAGGCAAUUCUCCUGCCUCAGCCUCCCGAGUAGCUGGGAUUACAGGCACGUGCCACCAUGCCCAGCUAAUUUUUUGUAUUUUUAGUAGAGACAGGGUCUCACCAUGUUGACCAAGAUGGUCUCGAUCUCUUGACCUCAUGAUCCACCUGCCUCGGCCUCCCCAUUUCAUAUUCUUAGUCUCUGUUUCUUUUAUUGUUUUAGGGAGAUUGGUGCUACCUUUUGCCACAAAAUUUCAAUAUUAUAUUUGGAAAUUAAUUACAUAAAUUUUUUUGUAUUUUCCUUUUCUUCCAUUUUACUUUCCCUUUCUUCUCCUCUCUUCAUUUCUCUUCUCCUUUAGAAGCAGUGAUGGUUAAAAACCCAUCCUCUGGAGCAGGACUACCAAGGAUUAAAUGUCAGCUGCGACACUUACUAUAGAUGUGACCUUGGGGAUAUUACAAUAUUUUCUCCACAGUGGUAUCUUUUUUUGUCAAAUAGGGAUAAUUAUUCUCUUCUUCAUAGAGGUAUUGAAAGGAUUACGUAUGAGUUAAUUCACUGGUAUGUAAAAUGUUGGGUACUGUGCCUGACACAUAAAGUUUUAAUUAGUAAAAUUUAUUUAUUUUCUUCUAUUUCUCUCAACAGCUCCUUUCAUGUUUGCCUGUCUUUUUUCUAUCAUCACCCAGGAUUUAAGUUACGAAGAGGAUAGGGCACUCAUGGAUUCCUCAGCAAUUUGUCAUCCUAAAGUAGGGAGAGGUUUCAAUGUUGGGAGUAGCUCUAGUGAGGGAAGCCUGUGAGUGGCACUUCUCACUGGGAUGGAAUAUGCCAACAAGCAUGUGUCUCCCUCAGCUAGCAUCUUUGGUAAGACAAAGGUUGAGUGUUAGGAGUGACACCAGUGAUCUCUCCUGAGGCCAUGGGGAAUACAGUAUGGAACAAAAUAGACAAGAUUAUUGCCUUUGACGUUUUCAAGUUUAGUGGAAGAGACCAUCAUUAAAUAAUUUUUAAAUAUGAUUGUGGUAAAUAUUAUGAAGAGCUAUGAGACUGUAACAUGGAAAGGCCUAAUUGUAGUCUGGGAAGUCAGGGAAUGCUCUCUGGAGGAAAGGACUUUAAGCUAUUCUCCUUCCCACAUGGAGUACAAUAAUAUGAUGCCAGAAUACACUUUAUUCAAGCCUCUUUUUUUUUUCUUUUGGGAUGGAGUCUCGCUCUGUUGCCCAGGCUGGAGUGCAGUGGCAUGAUCUCAGUUCACUGCAACCUCUGCCUCCCGGGUUCAAGGAAUUCUGCCUCAGCCUCCUGAGUAGCUGGGAUUACAGACGCCUGCCACUACACUUAGUAUUUGUUUAGUAGAUCCAUUUAGAAAUAAGGAGAAUGAUGCAGCAGUUAAAAUCCAGAGCUGGUUUCGAGGAUGUCAAGUUCGGGCGUAUAUCAGGCAUUUACACAGGACUGUAACAAUUAUUCAAAAAUGGUGGAGAAGUUUCUUAGGCAGAAAGCAGUAUCAACUAACUGUGCAGGUAGCACAUUAUACUUUGAGGAUGAAUCUCUACAAUGCAAUGGCUGUCAGGGUAAAUAUUUCUUCACUUGUUAAACAAAUGAAAAGUCAAUUGUGCCCUGAAUUUGCUUUUAAUAAAAUGAGCAAAGCAGAAUAAUGCAAAUUUGAUUGAUAUGCUAAUGGUAAAGAGAGAAAGAGUAUGUAGUUAAAAAGUUAUGCUAAAUAAUUUUGGCAGUAUUAAAAAUUAGAGUAAAAUGUAAAACAUGUAAUUAUAAAUGCUUAUGUUUUAGAAUGUUAAAUAUCCCUGAGCCAUAACUAGAGAAAGAUUUAAAUAUCAAUGAAGUAAUGUAUUAGUUUUCAUAUGUCAUAUAGAAUACAUUGUGAUAAAUAGAUGAACAUGGUUCUGGAAUAUAAGAUGCCUGCCCAAUACAAAUCAAUUAGAAAUUAUUAAUAUGACUUAACAGUAAUGAAGUCAGUUUCCAGCUUAGAAAUUUUAUUUCUAUCAUUUCUAUGUUCAUCUUUAUGUGUUAUUUUCCCAAUAGAAAACUGAAUUUAACAAUUAUGGAGCUUGAACUUGGUUUCUGCAUUCAUCUUGAGAAUGGACACAACAAAAAUAUGAUUUCCUUUGUUUAAGACAAUAGGAUAAUAAUGUAAUUGCUAAGCUAUUAUAAAUGGAGAAAUUUCUUAAGUGAAUUUUAUUAGUGUCCUAAAAAUCUAUGUUACUUUAUAUUCUCCUUCAUUAAUCUGUUAGUUCUUCUGCAAAUAAUGGAUUUUAUUUUGAGUGAGUCAAGGUAGUAAAAUCAUUUCUGAAAGUGCUGGGGUAAACCAUAGUGGACAAAUUAACAUUGUAUUGACUAUGUAUUUUGCUUUGGAAAGAGGCUCUUUUUUGUUCAGGUCAGUGUACUGGUCGUCUAGCCAGCUCACUGUAGUAUUUCUUCAUCUUCCUUUCUGCUUGCUCUCUUGGAGUUUGAGAAAAAAUGUAAAAGGAAGUCAAUCUUCUUACUGCUUCUCUUGAGUCAGAGGCAGAUACUCUAACUGCAAUGGGCUAUUUACUUUUCUCAGUAAUAUUCAUAUAGGAAAACAAUUCAGUUUUUUUCUUUCAAUGGGAAUACUUUGGUCUGGGAAUGUCAGAGAUUUUGUAUAGCUUCGCUAUAAGCUUAACCUCUGAGACUAAAACAUCACUGAUUCUUUUUUGCUUACUUUAUGUCAGAUGUGUCUCCAAAGUAAAAAACCAUAGAUGACUGAGAACAUAAAGCAGCUAACGACCAUUUAGCUAUCUCCACUGAUCAGCAGGGGAGAUUGUAGAAGGAGAUGCUUCCUCUCCUCUGCUACUAGGGAGAAGUACAGAAGACAGGGUUAGAAAGUUGCAUACUUUUGUGUAUUAUUUCACCUCAAACCUUCAUAUGGAGUUCUGGUCUGGCUUUAAUCAUUAAGGUUUCUUUUACCUAGACUAAACAUAUGUAAGAAAUUCACAUCAAUACGAGUCCCUUGGAAGGUAGUUUUUUAUUUAUUUCAACGUAUACUAAAAGCUCGAUUUUCCAGUAGCAUCAUUCAAUAUUUGAUUAAUGUCAGUGGACUUAGGGAAAGAACCAGUCAAUCUUAUUAUGUUGAAAGCAAAAAAUGCAAGCUGGAAAAAUUGUGAAAUGCUGCCCAGUAAAUAAGGAGGAGGAGGAGGAGGAGAAGGAAAAAAACAACAAUCACUCAAUCUAAUUAUGUUGAAAGCAUAAAAUCCAAACUAGAAAAAUUGUGAAUUGUUUCUGGUGGAAGGAGGACAAGGAGGAAUAAAAGGAGAAGAAGUAGGAGAAAACAAUCAGUCAAUCUUAUUAUGGUGAAAAAAUAAAAUUCAAGCUAUGUAAAUUGUGAAUUGCUUCCCAAAGGAGGAGGAGGAGGAGGAGGAGGAGGAGGAGGAAAUGGUGAAGGAUAAAGAAGAAAGAAUCAGUGAAUCUUAUUAAGUUGGAAGAAUAAAAUCCAACUUGAAAAGCUGUGAAUUGCUGCCGAGUGGAGAAGGAGGAUGAGGUGAAGGAGAAGGAGGAGGAGGAAAGAAUCAGUCAAUCUUAUUUUAAUGAAGGAUUAAAAUCCAAGCUAAAAAACUUGUUAAUUGCUGACAAGAGCAGGAGGAAAAAAAGGAGGAAGAGGAGAAAACAAUCAUUUAAUCUUAUCAUGUUAAAAGAAUUAUAUCCAAGCUAGAAAUAUUGUGAAUUGCUGGCAGAAUGAGGAGAAGUAGGAGGAGAAAGAACAAAAGGAGGAGGAGGAGAAGGAGGAGGAGGAAACAAACAGUGAAUCAUAUUAUGUUUAAAGCAUAAAUGCAAAAUAGAAAAAUUGUGAAUUGCUGCGAGAAGGAGGAUAAUAAGAAAAACGAGGAGGAGACAGAAGAGGAAACAGUCAGGCAAUGUUAUUAUUUUUAAAGAAUAAAAUCCAGGCUAUAAAAAUUUUGAAUCGCCAGAAAAAGGAAGAGGAGGAAAGAGUCAGUCAAUCUUUGAGAAGAGUAGCACGUCUGCUGGGGGCUCUUGGCCAGCAAGAGGGUCCCAACCUGGAUAGAGGAUGUGCGGAAGAUAAAAGAUGACAGACAGAAGAAGGCUGCAGGGUUGAGAACCUAUGCUUCGCCAACAACUUUAUUGCACUCAGUGUCUGCUUUUAGAUGUUACAACAAGAGUUGCUUCCAUAAAACACAACAGGUAUUUCCAUGAGAUAAAGGGGAACAGAAAGUUUUACCAUGAAAUCACAAGUCUCCUUACAUCAGAGAAAUAUAACGGAAUAAGUCACAAGGUAAGUUACACCCAGUUGUAAAUACUUAACAAUUGUAAAUACUUAAGUCACAAGGUAAGUGAGUUACGCCCAGUAAAUACUUAACAAUUGUAAAUACUUAAGUUAAGUCACAAGGUAAGUACGUUACACCCAGUAAAUACUUAACAAUUGUAAAUACUUCAGUUAAGACACAAGGUAAGUUACUUAUUCCCAGUUGUAAAUACUUAAGAAUAGAAUCCAAGCUAGAGAAAUUGUGAAAUGCUGCCCAGAGGAGGAGAAGGAGAAAGAGGAGGAGGAGGUGGAGGAGGAAGAAGAGGAGGAGGAGCAGGAGAAGGACAAAGAGGAAAAGAAAGAAAAAAUUCAUCAAACUUAUUGUGUUGAAAGAAUAAUAUCCAAGCUAAAAAUAUUGUAAAUUGCUGCCCGGAAGAGGAGGAAAAGGACAAUGAGGAGGAGGACGAAAAAAGGAGGAGGAAGAAAGAAUCAGUGAAUCUUAUUAUGUUGAAAGCAUUAAUUUCAAGCUAGAAAAAUUUUGAAUUGCUGCCCGAUGGAGGAGGAGGAGGAGGAGGAGGAAAUAAGAACCAGUCAAUUUUAUUAUGUUGAAAGCAUUAAAUAAAAGCAAGAAAAGUUGUGAAUUUCUAACCAGUGGAGGAGGAGGAGGAGGAGGAGAAGGAGGAGGAAGGAACAAUCAGUGAAUCUUAUGUUGGAACAAUAAAAUCCAACUAGAAAACCUGCGAAUUGCUGCCCAGUGGGGGAGGAUGAGGAGGCGGAGGAGGAGGAGGAGGUGGAGAAGGAGGAAAGAAUCAGUAAAUCUUAUUAUGCUGAAAGCAUAAAAUACAAGCUACAAAAAUUGUGAAUUGCUACCCAGUGGAAGAGGAGAAGGAGGAGGCGGUGGAGCAGGAGGAGGAAGAAACAAUCAGUGAAACUUAUUAUGUUGGAAGAAUAAAAUCCAACUAGAAAAACAUCAAAUUGCUUUUCAGUUCAGAGGAGGAGGAGGAGGAGGAGGAAAAAGAAAGACUCAGUCAAUCUUAUUAUGCUGAAAGCAUAAAAUACAAGCCAGAAAAAUUGUGAAUUGCUACCCAGUGGAGGAGGAGGAGGAGGAGGAGGAGGAGGAGG